rnacentral:lncRNA from 1 species
CCCACCUGUCGCUUCCACCUGUCCCCCCACAGACACACACACACACACUCACUCUCUCUCUCUCUCUCUCUCUCUCUCUAUUUUUUUCAAAAACAAAAUUAUCCAUGCACCCGGUGCAUCGUACACCACAUCUCGAAACUUUUUAAAUAAGACUUUAAUUUUUUUGGAUAAACUUCAAAUACUACCCCUAUAAUUUGCAGUUUCUCACUUUAAUACUCUGUGGCUUAAAAUGUAUCAAGUUAGUAUCCGUUGUUUUAUUUUUAUCUUUUCGUCAGCUUUUUCGUUAAUAUUUUGUUAAAUUAUAUACAAAAAAAACUUUAGAUACUCUAUUUAGGUUUAUCAAAUAUUUACUUUAAAACCCUUUAGCUUUAACUUUGUCACUGACUUAAUGAAAAAAAUUAGUAAAUUCGAUAAUACGAAGAUAAAAAAAAGAAACUGCGGGGUAAUAAAUUGAGACAUUUUAAACCACAGGAUACUAAAGUGAAAAAGUUAUUUGAAGUUUUUUCUUUUUUUAAUAACGAUAAUUAUCUUUAUACUUUUCAAAACUUCUAAAAUAUUUAUAUAUAUUUUUUUAUUUCGAAUAUACCCCUCGUAUAUUUUUUUAUUUUUAAAAAUUAACUCUACUGUUAGUACCGUUAAGUUAUCUCAAAUUAAACCAGAAUUACAUUACUACCGGAGUUAAAAUAGAGUCAAAAUAUCUCUUUUAAUCUAACUUAAGGAGUAAAUAAAAAAUGUUUGUGACAGUAGAAUAAUAUAUUUAAUAGGGCAAAAAAUUGUUACCUUAACUUAAAAAUAAAUAAAAAAAAUUAAUUAUGAUAGAAGGAUAUAUAUUUAAAACGAUAAAUUAGUAAUUUUACGGAGAUAACAACAAUUUCUAAUAGUUCACUAACAGAAUCUAAUUUUAAAAAUAUAUUUGAAAAUAUUUUGAACGUUGAAAAGAUACUUUUUAUAUUCACCUUCUAAACAAGAUAAAUAAAAAUACCUAAAAAUUUUUGAAAAUAUAUAAAUAAUUAUUUAUUUUUAUUAUAUUAUAAAAUUUAUAUAAUUAAAUGAAUAAAUUAGCGUGUGAUAUAACAGCAUUAUGAUUGGUAAUACCACUGUAGCUAAAAUACCAUAUCAACAACAUUUUAUUAUUAAAAAAAUCAAAUAAAAAAUUAUAAUAAAUAAAAUAUAAAUAUUAAAAUAUCGUGCGUUUUAUUUUAGGAUUAAAAGCGUAAUUUAUUUAUGCAUUAUUAUUUAUUUAAAUAUUAAGACAGGGGAAGCGGAAGCAGACAAACAAUUUAUGCGGGCCUGCUGGGGUUUCCUGUCGCUUUCGGUGCAAGGCUUACACGCCCCGUGAUACGCUGUGGAACAGCUAAUAAUAAAAAAGGGAAACAAAUGAAUAUAUAUUUUCACUAUCUUUUAAUUUUAAUUUUAUCACUAAUUUAAUAAAAAAAUAAUUAAAAAAAUAAUAAAAAAAUAAAAUAAAAUUAUAGGGUAUGAAAGUAAAAUAUUUUAAAUUAAAAAGUAUUAAAGUGAAAAAGUACGAAAUUAUGGGAGUGGUAUUUGAUGAGUGAGAUAUACAUCAUGUACAUGAGAGUGCUAUUUGAAUAGCCUUUUUUUUUUUUUACUUUUUACUGUUCUAAUUUUUUUUUUUUGUUUUUCUUUUAUCCUGUUUGCAGCUUUCUACCCCCAACGUUUUUAUGCUGCCUGAGUUGAUAAAAAGUUUAAUUAAAAGUAAUAUAAUAAUUUUGUAAUGAUAUAAUAUUUUUAAAAAAUUAUAUUAUUGUUUAUUAUGUAAAUUUUUUUUUUCUAUUUUAGACAUAUUCUCUAAUACAUUAUAUUGUCCACUGACCAAACGGGCAGAGAGACUGUAAGUAAUAUAUUUUGAAAUGUAUGAGCGGAAAUUAAAUUCCGACUUCUUAAGGUGAUAAUUAAUCUUAGUAACAAUUACUGGGCAAUUUUUUUACCAGCAAAUACUAGAAUUCUAGGGAUAGGUACAUUUUAUCAUAAGUAUAAAGUGAGAAAGUCUUACCUAUAACUUGAUUUAGAGAGAGAGAGAGAAGUUGAGAUGUUAUCAGUAGAAAACUGGCUCCAUUGUCAAUCAUUUUGUUUCUGAUGAUAAGCCUCCAAAUCGACAAUCGGUAUCGUUGAGUAUAAUUUAUACCACUUGAAGAAUUUGAAAACUAAAUUUAAAUCUUUUCAACAUCAUUAGUCUAAUAAUCAAAGGGUUUCAAAUUUUAUAAUUUUAAUGGUCAAUAUAAAAUGUUUUUUCAUUUAACAGCAUUAUGAUAUCCAAAUCAAUUAAAUUUUGGUAAGAAAAUUCUUUAAACUAUUUAAAACAAGAUCUACACUUUUGAUCUUGAUUACAAGACUCCUAUCAUCAUUUUUUUAAUGAAUAUUCAUUUUCAACCGUUUAUUUUUGUAUUCACUUGAUGAACAAGAGAACAAUAUUGAAAAAGUAUGAAAUUUGAUUUUUGCAUUUUCAAGUGGUAUAGAUCAUAUUCAACGAUGCCGAUCGUAGAUUUGGAGGUUGCAUCAUCAAAAACAAAUGGUUGGGAAAGGGAGCCGAUUUGCUGCUGAUAGUAUUCCAGCUCAACACACACACUUUCUCUCUCUCUCUCCCUCUCUCUCCCUCUCUCUCUCAUAGGAGCUCAAUUAUAUAUAUAUAUAUAUAUAUAUAUAUAUAUAUAUAUAUAUAUAUAUAUAUAGGGUCUGCCUACUAUACUAUUAUGAGUACGAUCGCUCCCGUACUCAUAAAUCGUUUUCGAUGAUAGAGCUUCUGAAUCGACGAUCCAUACCGUUAAACGUUAUUUACAACAUUUAAAACUUUUAGAAAUCAAAUUUUAUAAUUUUUCAACAUCAUUUACCUUACGAUCAAGAGGUCACAAAUUUGACAAUUUUUAACGGCCGGUAUGGGAUACUUGUUAGUUUAACAGUGUAAAAGAAUCAGAAUUUGUUGAAUUUUUGAUAGAAAACUCUAUUCACUACAUAGAUAAAGAUCAACAACUCCGAUCUUGAAUUGAAGGAUCCGAUCAUCCUUUUUUAGGACGUCGUUCGAUUUUGACCGUUCAUUUUAUGCCCACUUGAUGGACUUUAUUAUGAUUUCGAAAAUUUACGAAAUUUAUUUUCUAGAAGUUUCAAAUCCU